AUUGAACGCUGCGGCAGGCUUAACACAUGCAAGUCGAGCGGAGAUGAGGUGCUUGCACCUUAUCUUAGCGGCGGACGGGUGAGUAAUGCUUAGGAAUCUGCCUAUUAGUGGGGGACAACAUUCCGAAAGGAAUGCUAAUACCGCAUACGUCCUACGGGAGAAAGCAGGGGAUCUUCGGACCUUGCGCUAAUAGAUGAGCCUAAGUCGGAUUAGCUAGUUGGUGGGGUAAAGGCCUACCAAGGCGACGAUCUGUAGCGGGUCUGAGAGGAUGAUCCGCCGCACUGGGACUGAGACACGGCCCAGACUCCUACGGGAGGCAGCAGUGGGGAAUAUUGGACAAUGGGGGAAACCCUGAUCCAGCCAUGCCGCGUGUGUGAAGAAGGCCUUAUGGUUGUAAAGCACUUUAAGCGAGGAGGAGGCUACUGAGACUAAUACUCUUGGAUAGUGGACGUUACUCGCAGAAUAAGCACCGGCUAACUCUGUGCCAGCCGCCGCCGUAA
rnacentral:rRNA from 1 species